rnacentral:rRNA from 1 species
AUAAUACUCCAUAGAUUAGAGAUACUGGAAUGUUCUUUAGUCAAAAGUUCUGGCGCCUUAGGAUGGAUCUGCGGUCGAUUAGGUUGUUGUUGGGGUAACGGCCCAACAAGCCUGUAAUCGAUACGGGUUGUGGGAGCAAUAGCCCGGAGAUGGAAUCUGAGACAAGAUUCCAGGCCCUACGGGGCGCAGCAGGCGCGAAAACUUUACAAUGCAGGAAACUGUGAUAAGGGAACCCCGAGUGCCCGUAUACGCGGGCUGUCCAGGUGUUUAAAAAUCAUCUGAAGAAAGGGCCGGGCAAGACCGGUGCCAGCCGCCGCGGUAAUACCGGCGGCUCGAGUGGUGGCCACUAUUAUUGGGCUUAAAGCGUCCGUAGCUGGACUGAUAAGUCUCUUGGGAAAUCCGCCGGCUCAACCGGCGGGCGUCUAAGGGAUACUGUUGGUCUAGGGACCGGGAGAGGUGAGAGGUACUCCGGGGGUAGGAGUGAAAUCCUGUAAUCCCCGGGGGACCACCGAUGGCGAAGGCAUCUCACCAGAACGGCUCCGACAGUGAGGGACGAAAGCUGGGGGAGCAAACCGGAUUAGAUACCCGGGUAGUCCCAGCCGUAAACUAUGCGCGUUAGGUGU